UACGUAGGGGGCAAGCGUUGUCCGGAUUUAUUGGGCGUAAAGAGCUCGUAGGCGGCUCAGCAAGUCGGUCGUGAAAUCCCGGGGCUCAACCCCGGAACUGCCUUUGAUACUGGUAGUCUCGAGUCCGGAAGAGGUGAGUGGAAUUCCGAGUGUAGAGGUGAAAUUCGUAGAUAUUCGGAGGAACACCAGUGGCGAAGGCGGCUCACUGGUCCGGUACUGACGCUGAGGUGCGAAAGCGUGGGGAGCAAACAGG
rnacentral:rRNA from 1 species